rnacentral:lncRNA from 1 species
UUUUUUUUUUUUUUUUGUUUUUUUUUUUUUUUUUUUUUUUUUUUUUGGUUUUUUUUUUUGGGCAAUAAUCACCAUUAUCGUUCCACCUAGGAUUCUGUGAUUCUCAAUACAUACUUGAAACCUAUUGUUAUCCCUGCAACUAAUCAAAGAAACAAAUAGCCUGAUUCUAGAUUAUGAUGUUGCUAUGCCCUAACAUGUCACUAGUCACUGGGAGUCUGGGAUUUGGACUAGAAACUGACGUGAGAAAGCGGUAACCGAAGCCCGCGAAGCAAAAGCACACAAAUGGUGUUCAAAACUUUCAAGUUCAGCGCAAGCAAAGAGAUAUAUAAUCUAUAGAAACCCAGAACCAAUAUAUACACAGUUAGGCAGAAAAAUGCCAUAUUAUCCAGAAACCAAAAAUACCCAUUGGACACGUAACACCAAAGAAAUAAAAACCAUUUAAACAAGGAUGACAACUCACAACGCUAACG